rnacentral:rRNA from 1 species
GUGGANAGCGGCGAACGGGUGAGUAACACGUUGGUAUCUACCUUUUGGUCAGGGAUAGCCAGUCGAAAGAUUGAUUAAUACCGGAUAGUCUCGAAAGAGUAAAGAUUUAUCGCCAGAAGAGGAACCUGCGUCCUAUCAGCUUGUUGGUAAGGUAGUGGCUUACCAAGGCUAUGACGGGUAGUUGAUCUGAGAGGAUGAUCAACCACAAUGGAACUGAGACACGGUCCAUACUCCUACGGGAGGCAGCAGUGAGGAAUCUUCCACAAUGGGGGCAACCCUGAUGGAGCGACACCGCGUGAAGGAUGACGGCCUAACGGUUGUAAACUUCUUUUCUGAGGGAGCAUAAUGAGAGUACUUCAGGAAUAAGGGACGGCUAAAUACGUGCCAGCAGCCGCGGUAAUACGUAUGUCUCGAGCGUUAUCCGGAAUUACUGGGUGUAAAGGGUACGUAGGUGGUGUGAUAAGUAGGAUAUGAAAGACCGGAGCCUAACUCCGUGUUUGUAUUCUAGACUGUUACACUCGAGUUAGGGAGAGGUAAGCGGAAUUCUAAGUGUAGGGGUGCAAUCCGUAGAUACUUAGAAGAACACCAAAAGCGAAGGCAGCUUACUGGAACUAUACUGACACUGAGGUACGAAAGCGUG